CACGCCGUCUCGCGGGCCGCUGCUCCGCGGAACGACCUCCUCUUCCUUUAGUAAUCGGGCCGUCAAGGCCCACUUAUUCCCAGUCGGACGCUAACAGCCUAGGUCACCCUCGAACGAACAGCUUCUCCGUGUCGCUGUCCUUCCUCCUCAUGAUGCGCUGGCAUUCCUCCCUCCUCAAUGCACCGUCGAUCCGCCGUGUUCGUGUAUUUAUUUACUUAAUGGUGGCUGCGGCGGCCGCCCCGCCGUGGGCUUUCACCGCCGGCUGUCGCUGGAGGCAAACUACCUAGAUGGUUUCGCGGUGGCGAUGGAGGCGCUAGAUACCUGCUUUCUCGUGUGCCUUCUUGUCGCCUCUGCUCUUCCAAUGAUGCGGAUCCAGGAACAGAGUCCAACCCUCUCCCCUUCUAAUUCUUCCUUCGUGUUCUGCACUUCUUCUGCUUGCUCUUUGACAAACAUCAAAUUAUGUUUUUAUGUCUCAAUGUGUUCGGUUUCAAUUCCCAUGUGAGAAGAUCCUUCUGAGGAAGGCCAGGAAUUGGUACUGAAAUUCUGAAUAUGCAUAGGUACAAAGAACCUUGAAUCUGUCCAGGUGAGCAUGACAUUGAUUCCAGUUCUUGUGAUAUUUGUGUCUAACUUAAUUCAUCUUGGCACCGGUUCAAAAUAAAUAAAUUCAUCUUGGCAUGAUUAUUAUGUGGUUCAAGUGCUAAUCAAGUGAGCUGAGCAUUUAGUUUCUUCGUUGUGCCAUGCUAUUAGGAAUAACAUGUUAUUUUAUCCACCGGUCUCUGAUAAAUGAGAAGUUCAUUCUUUGUUUACACUUGUGACUAAAACACAUUUGGUUUCCUAUUGUAAUUUCUUUUUUCAGAUUUUGGUGUGUUAUUCUUGAAUAUAUUAUGCGCACGAAUUAUUUCUGGAAAUAUUUCCCCCUUUCUCUAGAGUCCAUAUUCACUAUUAAUUUCUGAAAGUCAAUUUUCAUGUUGUUGAGCCCACAAUGCUCCUAAAAGUAUUACAUGCACGUGGAGCGCAGGGUGAGUGCUCAUGUUAGCAAUCUUGUGUUCCUUUUUCAAGAUUUAGGAUUUAGUUUGGUUAAGAAAGCUUGUCGUUGCACUGUAUUAACAUUGCUUGAUCUAUGGUUUUUAAGCUUUUGAGCCCUAGAUCCUCUCUUUGGCAAGUAUUGCAGGCAACCGGUGAAGCCGAAGCCAUUUAUGAAUGCAAGGCAGACAAACUAUUAAAUGCCAUGAAAUUGUAAAGGUAUCUUUCUAUUCCUAGAAUGAUUUGACAAGGCCCAUGUCGACGAUCUAUGCACCAUCACCUACGGCCAGGUUGUCUAAGAAAAACAGUCCAUUAGUUGUGAGAUCUCUUACUGCUAAAAUCAGUGGUCGGCGUGGCAUGAAUAAAAUCCGUAGCAUGACAUUUGGAUCUGACGUUUUUAUGUGUACCUGACACACCUUGAGGAUUAAAGCUGCACUUGAGUCAAUUCGAAUAUUGUAUAGUUGAUCUCUUUAUUGGGAGUUAGAUCCAAAAAAGCUAAGUUAUA